rnacentral:rRNA from 1 species
UACGUAGGUGACAAGCGUUGUCCGGAUUUACUGGGCGUAAAGGGCGCGUAGGCGGCGGGGUAAGUCGGGUGUGAAAUCUCAGAGCUCAACUCUGAAAUGGCACUUGAUACUGCUCUGCUAGAGGACUGGAGAGGAGAUUGGAAUUCACGGUGUAGCAGUGAAAUGCGUAGAUAUCGUGAGGAAGACCGGUGGCGAAGGCGGAUCUCUGGACAGUUCCUGACGCUGAGGCGCGAAGGCCAGGGGAGCAAACGGG